rnacentral:circRNA from 1 species
UUUCAGACCCAAAGUUUACGCCUAUCAGACCUACACAGAAAAUCGCAUCUUUGGAGAGGAAUAGUCAGCAUCACCUUGAUUGAAGGGAGAGACCUCAAGGCCAUGGAUUCCAACGGGUUGAGCGAUCCCUACGUGAAGUUCCGGCUUGGGCAUCAGAAGUACAAGAGCAAGAUUAUGCCAAAAACGUUGAAUCCUCAGUGGAGGGAACAAUUUGAUUUUCACCUUUAUGAAGAAAGAGGAGGAGUCAUUGAUAUCACUGCAUGGGACAAAGAUGCUGGGAAAAGGGAUGAUUUCAUUGGCAGGUGCCAGGUCGACCUGUCAGCCCUCAGUAGGGAACAGACGCACAAGCUGGAGUUGCAGCUGGAAGAGGGUGAGGGACACCUGGUGCUGCUGGUCACUCUGACAGCAUCAGCCACAGUCAGCAUCUCUGACCUGUCUGUCAACUCCCUGGAGGACCAGAAGGAACGAGAGGAGAUAUUAAAGAGAUAUAGCCCAUUGAGGAUAUUUCACAACCUGAAAGAUGUGGGAUUUCUCCAGGUGAAAGUCAUCAGAGCGGAAGGGUUAAUGGCUGCCGACGUCACUGGAAAAAGUGACCCAUUUUGUGUGGUAGAACUGAACAACGAUAGACUGCUAACACAUACUGUCUACAAAAAUCUCAAUCCUGAGUGGAAUAAAGUCUUCACGUUCAACAUUAAAGAUAUCCAUUCAGUUCUUGAAGUGACAGUUUAUGAUGAAGAUCGGGAUCGAAGUGCUGACUUUCUGGGCAAAGUUGCUAUACCAUUGCUGUCUAUUCAAAAUGGUGAACAGAAAGCCUACGUCUUGAAAAACAAGCAGCUGACAGGGCCAACAAAGGGGGUCAUCUAUCUUGAAAUAGAUGUGAUUUUUAAUGCUGUGAAAGCCAGCUUACGAACAUUAAUACCCAAAGAACAGAAGUACAUUGAAGAGGAAAACAGACUCUCUAAACAGCUGCUACUAAGAAACUUUAUCAGAAUGAAACGUUGUGUCAUGGUGCUGGUAAAUGCUGCAUACUACGUUAAUAGUUGCUUUGAUUGGGAUUCACCCCCAAGGAGUCUCGCUGCUUUUGUGCUCUUUCUCUUUGUUGUCUGGAACUUUGAGCUCUACAUGAUACCACUGGUUUUGUUGUUACUAUUGACAUGGAACUACUUCUUGAUAAUAUCAGGGAAAGAUAACAGGCAACGUGAUACAGUAGUGGAGGACAUGCUAGAGGACGAGGAAGAAGAAGAUGACAAAGAUGACAAG